rnacentral:other from 1 species
UCAAUCCUAAUGUGUUCGUCUUACUCCACAUAAGUUUUGACCGAACACUUAUAUUGUAGGGAGUCCGGACGUUUCCGUAUUGCGUAAAAGCCUUUGUUAAGGACUUACAAAAUAUAUGGAACAGGACACCCACCUGCCUUGAGCGGGUUCAAAACAAUACGGAGGGACGGCACAAUUGGGAUUGUU